CCUACGGGCGGCUGCAGUGGGGAAUAUUGGACAAUGGGCGAAAGCCUGAUCCAGCCAUGCCGCGUGUGUGAAGAAGGCCUUCGGGUUGUAAAGCACUUUCAGUGGGGAAGAAAGCCUUGGGGCUAAUACCCUCGAGGAAGGACAUCACCCACAGAAGAAGCACCGGCUAACUCCGUACCAGCAGCCGCGGUAAUACGGAGGGUGCGAGCGUUAAUCGGAAUUACUGGGCGUAAAGCGCGCGUAGGCGGUCUGAUAAGCCGGUUGUGAAAGCCCCGGGCUCAACCUGGGAACGGCAUCCGGAACUGUCAGGCUAGAGUGCAGGAGAGGAAGGUAGAAUUCCCGGUGUAGCGGUGAAAUGCGUAGAGAUCGGGAGGAAUACCAGUGGCGAAGGCGGCCUUCUGGACUGACACUGACGCUGAGGUGCGAAAGCGUGGGUAGCAAACAGGAUUAGAUACCCUAGUAGUC
rnacentral:rRNA from 1 species